GUUCACCAUCCUCCAAGGCUAAAUACUCCUGACUGACCGAUAGUGAACCAGUACCGUGAGGGAAAGGCGAAAAGAACCCCUGUGAGGGGAGUGAAAUAGAUCCUGAAACCGUAUGCGUACAAGCAGUCGGAGCGGACUUGUUCCGUGACGGCGUACCUUUUGUAUAAUGGGUCAUCGACUUGGUCUCACGAGCAAGCUUAAGCCGUUAGGUGUAGGCGCAGCGAAAGCGAGUCUGAAUAGGGCGUUUAGUCAGGGGAAGUAGACGCGAAACCUUGUGAUCUACCCAUGGUCAGGAUGAAGGUGCAGUAACAUGCACUGGAGGUCCGAACCAGUUGACGUUGAAAAGUCUUUGGAUGAACUGUGGGUAGGGGUGAAAGGCCAAUCAAACUGGGAAAUAGCUCGUACUCCCCGAAAUGUUUUUAGGAACAGCCUC
rnacentral:rRNA from 1 species